UUGUAUUUGGGCUUGUGUUUGGCCCGUUGUCUUUUUUAGGCCCAUUUCGAAUUUCUGUUCUUAUUUAUAUGUUGCUCUAGUAAUAUGAAAAAGCAGACUUGAAUUUUGACAUAAUCAAUUUUUUCACUUCAAAUUCCGUGCCUUUUGGGUGGAAUCUUGGGGGGUUGGGGAAGAACACACGGGUAUUCUUUGAAUCAAUGUGUUUGAUCUUCGUUUCCGUAUCACGCGCUACAUCAGUACACAAUUGUUGAUUUAUCGGACAAUAAAUUUGAAGGGGAGAUUCCAAAUAUCAUCGGAUAUCUGAAAUCUUUGAAAGCGCUCAACUUGUCACACAACAGCCUAAUGGGCCAAAUCCCACAUGCUCUUGGGAAAAUAACAUAAAUUGAAUCAUUAGACCUAUCAUGGAACCAACUCACAAGAGAGAUACCUCAAAGCCUUGCUGACUUAACGUUUCUUGAGGUCUUAAAUCUAUCACAAAACCAUCUCAUGGGCCGCAUUCCAAAAGGAAAUCAGUUCAACACAUUUGAUAAUUAUUCAUUUGGUGGGAACCCAAAACUCUGUGGGCUUCCGUUGCCCAAACAGUGCAGUGAGCAUCUAGAGAAGCCACAACCUGAAGGUGAUGGAGAUGAGGAGGAGUAUCGAUUCACAUGGAAAGUGGUCGUGAUGGGAUAUGGGUGUGGAACUUUACUUGGAUGCGUGUUGGGUUAUCGCAUGUUAUCAACCGGAAGACCGAAAUGGUUCAAUGCAAUUACUGAUGCAGCAGAGUAUGUGAUCUUGACAAUUCAAAACAAGAGAAGAUAAUUAAAUUAGUUCAUAAAUGGUAAAGAACCUUGGGGGUGCAGCUGGACCCUUUUGAAUCCUGCCGCUGUAGGGAACUUUGUGGAUUGUGUUGAAUUUUGAGUAUUUGUUAUUAUGUUGUUCACUAGAUGAUCCUUUCUUAAUGAUUUUGAAUAUUAAUAAAAAAACCACUUUAUAAAA